ACCCUAGAAACUCAAUAGAGUGUUAUUUUGAAAAAAUAAAAGAAAUAGAUUCAAAUCCUAUCUAAGGUA
rnacentral:tRNA from 1 species